AGGGCCGUGGCUCAACUGGCUAGAGCACCGGUCUCCAAAACCGGAGGUUGUGGGUUCGAUCCCCACCGGCCCUG
rnacentral:tRNA from 1 species